rnacentral:rRNA from 1 species
GACGAACGCUGGCGGCAGGCCUAACACAUGCAAGUCGAGCGCCCCGCGAGGGGAGCGGCGGACGGGUGAGUAACGCGUGGGAACGUACCCCUUUCUACGGAAUAGCCUCGGGAAACUGGGAGUAAUACCGUAUAAGCUCUUCGGAGGAAAGAUUUAUCGGGAAGGGGUCGGCCCGCGUUGGAUUAGGUAGUUGGUGGGGUAAUGGCCUACCAAGCCGACGAUCCAUAGCUGGUUUGAGAGGAUGAUCAGCCACACUGGGACUGAGACACGGCCCAGACUCCUACGGGAGGCAGCAGUGGGGAAUCUUAGACAAUGGGCGCAAGCCUGAUCUAGCCAUGCCGCGUGAGCGAUGAAGGCCUUAGGGUUGUAAAGCUCUUUCAGUGGGGAAGAUAAUGACUGUACCCACAGAAGAAGCCCCGGCUAACUCCGUGCCAGCCGCCGCGGUAA